AGUAGAGUCAGCUAACUAAGCUAUCGGGCCCAUACCCCGAAAAUGAUGGCCAAACCCCCUCCUCUACUA
rnacentral:tRNA from 2 species